rnacentral:lncRNA from 13 species
CUGAGGGCUGAGCUGCAGCGUCUCCGCACCACGGCCCAAGAGUACGAGCUGGAGAUCACCACCCUGCGUGCUGAAAUCAGUAUGAAGAGCAUGAGGAGGGAGGGAGAGACUGACGGUGAGUUAAGCCAGCUGACGGCGGAGUGUCAUACGAUUUCAGACGAGUGUCAGACCCUGAAGGACGAAAACAAACAGCUGAGCCUCAAACUGCAGCAGCUACAGCGAGCCGGCUCCAAUGAUGUCUACCUGGCCUUGAGAGGGGAGGGGGAUGAGGACCAGAAGGAUGAGGGUGUUGGGCAGGAUGAGGAAUCAGUGAAGGCUGGAGGCUACAUGACCCUGUCUCAGACCCAGGGUGGGCAGACCCAGACUGGGCAAGGUGGGCGCUUGGUGGAUGCCUCCAUCCAGAAGAACAUCUCGUUCGAUGGCAAGCCUAUCACCAACUGGAACGGGGGACCCUCUGAAGCCUUCUCCCUACGAGACCAGCUCAAACUGGCUGAAGAGAGGGCCUCGCAAGUACAGAGACAAUGUGAGGGGUUGAAGGGGGAGCUUGCGAACCUGCAGGGGCUGUUUGACUGCAGCCAGAAGGAGAGGAUUGAGCUGGAGCAGGAACUGCAUCACUAUAGGGCGGAGCUAGAGAGGCUUGGCGGCAAGAAGUCACAGGAGAGCGAGGGAGGCUGGAACCUGGUGGCGGUGGUUGCCGUGGCAGCGCUUGUAGUCCUGAUAGUCCCCAGCCUUUCUAGAGCAUUUACCUGA